ACGGACACCUGCUGAGCUG
rnacentral:misc_RNA from 1 species